UGUUCUGUGGAUUAGUUGUUGAAAGCGCCGUACUAGCGAUACGGAGUUGUGGGUUUGAAUUCCAUCAAAACAC
rnacentral:tRNA from 1 species